AGGGGACCUUCGGGCCUUUCGCUAACAGAUGAGCCUGCGUUGGAUUAGCUAGUUGGUGGGGUAAGGGCCCACCAAGGCGACGAUCCAUAGCUGGUCUGAGAGGACGAUCAGCCACACUGGGACUGAGACACGGCCCAGACUCCUACGGGAGGCAGCAGUGGGGAAUAUUGGACAAUGGGCGCAAGCCUGAUCCAGCAAUACCGCGUGUGUGAAGAAGGCCCUAGGGUUGUAAAGCACUUUCAAUUGGGAGGAAAACCCACCGGCCAAUACCCGGUGGCUUGACAUUACCUUUAGAAGAAGCACCGGCUAACUCCGUGCCAGCAGCCGCGGUAAUACGGAGGGUGCGAGCGUUAAUCGGAAUUACUGGGCGUAAAGCGUGCGUAGGCGGCCCGUUAAGUCAGAUGUGAAAGCCCCGGGCUCAACCUGGGAACUGCAUUUGAAACUGGCGGGCUAGAGUUUGGUAGAGGGGAGCGGAAUUUCAGGUGUAGCGGUGAAAUGCGUAGAUAUCUGAAGGAACACCAGUGGCGAA
rnacentral:rRNA from 1 species